GACGAACGCUGGCGGCGUGCUUAACACAUGCAAGUCGAACGAUGAACCCGGAGCUUGCUCCAGUGGAUUAGUGGCGAACGGGUGAGUAACACGUGAGUAACCUGCCCUUGACUCUGGGAUAACUGCGGGAAACUGUAGCUAAUACCGGAUACGACCCUCGGCGGCAUCGCCAGGGGGUGGGAAGAAUUUCGGUCAAGGAUGGACUCGCGGCCUAUCAGCUAGUUGGUGAGGUAACGGCUCACCAAGGCGACGACGGGUAGCCGGCCUGAGAGGGUGACCGGCCACACUGGGACUGAGACACGGCCCAGACUCAUACGGGAGGCAGCAGUGGGGAAUAUUGCACAAUGGGCGCAAGCCUGAUGCAGCAACGCCGCGUGAGGGAUGACGGCCUUCGGGUUGUAAACCUCUUUUAGCAGGGAAGAAGCGAAAGUGACGGUACCUGCAGAAAAAGCACCGGCUAACUACGUGCCAGCCGCCGCAGUAA
rnacentral:rRNA from 1 species